rnacentral:tRNA from 1 species
GUGCGUAUAGCUCAUCCGGCAGAGCGCGAUCCUCCCACGAUCGAGGCCGCGGGUUCGACUCCCGCUACGCACU